rnacentral:rRNA from 1 species
GACGUAGGGGGCAAGCGUUGUCCGGAAUUAUUGGGCGUAAAGGGCGCGUAGGCGGCCAUUCAAGUCGGACGUGAAAUCCCUCGGCUCAACCGGGGAACUGCGUCCGAUACUGUCUGGCUCGAGUCCUGGAGAGGGUAGUGGAAUUCCCAGUGUAGCGGUGAAAUGCGUAGAUACUGGGAGGAACACCGGUGGCGAAGGCGGCUACCUGGACAGGUACUGACGCUGAUGCGCGAAAGCUAGGGGAGCAAACAGG